UCAGUGUAGGUAGUGAUAAAUGAACAACAGAGAACAAGAACAGUCUUUAAACUAACUAAAGUAAAUAAGAAAUAACAUAACGUGUGUCAGUUUAGGUAGUGAUAAAUGAACAACAGAGAACAAGAACAGUCUUUACACUGACUAAAAUAUAUAAGAAAUACGAUGAGUUGUGUCAGUUUAGGUAGUGAAUAA